CAAAGAAAGCAUGUCAACAAAGAAAGAUGUUGCAGAAAUAAAACAAGAGAUGGCUGCAAAAGCUGAUGUAGCCAGCAUGGAAGAAAUGAAACGGGAAAAAAUAUGCUCAGACCUCAAGCUUGAAUAGUGGAACUACAUUGAUGAAUCAACGAAACAUGAAGAAUUGUUUUUAAAAUUGAUUGAAUAUGGGCGCAAUCCCAAUGUUGAGGUUAAAGUCGUGGGCAAUGUACGUGUAAUAUUCUUAGAAGAAUUUUGCAUUGGCGAAGGAAGUAAUGCAACCCGUGUUUUCCUUGGACUGGGUAAGGAUGGUUACGGUAAAGCAGUCAAACAAAUACAUCGAGAUAGCUUUAUCCAGCUUGCACAGCAAGAAAAGAAAAUUUUGCAUGAUAUUAAUGUUAAAAGGAAAUGACAUCACAGUGUAUAACUCUCAACUAGAUUGUUAAUCAUGUGACCUAUGUACUUGUUGUUCUGCCUUAUAAAAGAGAGCACAUUUUAUGUUAAAAUAUAUUCUCAAUCGUUAUGUUGUUAAACUCUUUUAUGAUUCUAUCUGAUGUUCGGUAGAACCUCUAAAUCUAGCAAUUAAAGCAAGAAAUUCGAAAUAUGUUGUGAAUUAUUUCGACUUAGACGAAGAUAAUGGAACGGAUUAUAUUUAUUUGAUCUUAGACUUAGGUGAAGAAUCACUGGUAAAGUUUGUGGAAGAUUCUACUUUGCAUGAUCUUCAAAAAGCUCUUCCUGAUAUUCUUAGACAAAUUUUAAAAGGAUUAGCUGAUCUUCAUAGCGGCCCAAUUCCUAUUCUACAUCGGGAUUUGAAGCCUUCCAAUGUUCUGCGAGUCUCAAAAAGCCAAUUUCUGAUAGCUGACUUUGGCAUAAGUCGAAUAAUGAAGAAUGACACUACAACAUAUAAAAGUAAUUCUUCCAUGGGAACCCUGCAUUGGAUAGCUCCUGAAUCAUAUCGCGAAGAUGAUGAAUCAGUAAAAAAGCGCGCUACAAUGGAAGGUCUGAUGUUUAUAAUGCAUGGAUGGUAGCUUAUUAUGUUGCAACAAAAGGGAAACAUCCUUUUGGAACUAAACCCUACAGACUGAUUAACAUGUUAAAUGGAAACCCUGUUGGUUUGGAUGAAAUCGAGGAUGAAACAUUAAAGGACCUUCUGUCGUGGAUGUUAAAUCUAAAACCUGAAGACAGACCAUAUUCUAACGAAGCAUUAAAGCACCCAUUUCUCAUGUCAGAUGAUGAGAAGUUUGAAAUGUUAAGUAAAGCUGGAAAUCUUCAACAGAUUAAGACAAAUGAUCCCCAGGCAAGUGUCGUUCAACAACUAAAUAGCGAAUCCGUAGAUUUGGAAAGUCAAAUGGGUAGUGAUGUUUAUGAUUAUUUGGUGAAUGGAAGGACCUAUAAAUCUUCAUGGACAAAAUGCUUAAGACUGAUUCGAAAUAUUGACCAGCAUUGGAAAGAUCUAACAUGGGAAAAACCACAACCAGAACCAUUUUAUAAGAUUGGCGAUUACAAGGCGUAUUUUCUCCGAACAUUUCCUAAUCUCCCUGCUCGGGUACAUGGUGCUGUCAGGUCAAAUGAAGAAUUGAAAAACGAACUAGAACUCUAGAAUAUUUUAUAUUUUAAUGAAAGCGAACUACAUCAAUAAACAAUUUAGAUACAACAGAACCUGUUAGGGGUGAAAAAAGUUGCUAUUAAGAAGUAAUUGAUACGGUAGAAAUCUAAUUUUAUAAAUAUAAAGAUAAACAGUUUCCACGACGUAUUUAGAUGAUAUUUCACCACAUUUCUGCUGAAUAUAUAGCCUGUGGUACUCAUUGAUACAAUGUAAUAUACCUCAUUAUUUAAUUAUUUAAUUUUUACUGUAAAUUGUUUUGGGAAAAGAGUGAAGACGAAUAUGACAUUAAAAGCUAACUUUUAUGUUUAGCUGCACUGUUAAAAAAUUGUAUUUCUGAAAUUACUAUAAGUACUAAAAGUCUGGUAUUGGUGUUUUGAGCUCUUGGGAGCUCCUUACCGUAUAAACCUCACCAUCAGAAGUUGUGCAGAAUUCCAUAAGUAGAAUCUUUUGUGUUUUACUAUCUCACAUUAAUUACGUAGCUGAACCAUAUAAAAUAGUUGAAUUAAAUAAUAUUUUCAUGAGA